rnacentral:rRNA from 1 species
GUAUAAGAGACAGCAGCAGCCGCGGUAAUACGGAGGGUGUAAGCGUUAAUCGGAAUUACUGGGCGUAAAGGGUGCGUAGGCGGUUAGUUAAGUCUGUCGUGAAAUCCCCGGGCUCAACCUGGGAAUGGCGAUGGAUACUGGCUGGCUAGAGUGUGUCAGAGGAUGGUGGAAUUCCCGGUGUAGCGGUGAAAUGCGUAGAUAUCGGAGGGAACACCUGUGGCGAAAGCGGCUCACUGGACCAUUACUGACGCUGAGGCGCGAAAGCUAGGGGAGCAAACAGGAUUAGAUACCCCUGUAGUCCCUGUCUCUUAUAC